rnacentral:rRNA from 1 species
UACGGGGGGGGCAAGCGUUGUUCGGAAUUACUGGGCGUAAAGGGUUUGUAGGUGGCCCGCUAAGUCACACGUGAAAUCCCUCAGCUUAACUGGGGAACUGCGUGUGAGACUGGCAGGCUCGAGGGCAGGAGAGGAACGCGGAAUUCCAGGUGUAGCGGUGGAAUGCGUAGAUAUCCGGAAGAACACCUGAGGCGAAGGCGGCUUGCUGGGCCUGAUCUGACGCUGAGGCGCGAAAGCGUGGGGAGCAAACAGG